rnacentral:rRNA from 1 species
AUUGAACGCUGGCGGCAUGCUUUACACAUGCAAGUCGAACGGUAACAGGCCUUCGGGUGCUGACGAGUGGCGAACGGGUGAGUAAUGCAUCGGAACGUGCCCAGAGGUGGGGGAUAACGCAGCGAAAGCUGUGCUAAUACCGCAUGUGAUCUGAGGAUGAAAGCGGGGGACCAAGCAGCAAUGUUUGGCCUCGCGCCUCUGGAGCGGCCGAUGUCAGAUUAGGUAGUUGGUGGGGUAAAGGCCUACCAAGCCGACGAUCUGUAGCUGGUCUGAGAGGACGACCAGCCACACUGGGACUGAGACACGGCCCAGACUCCUACGGGAGGCAGCAGUGGGGAAUUUUGGACAAUGGGCGCAAGCCUGAUCCAGCAAUGCCGCGUGCGGGAAGAAGGCCUUCGGGUUGUAAACCGCUUUUGUACGGAACGAAAAGGCUCUGGCUAAUACCUGGGGCUGAUGACGGUACCGUAAGAAUAAGCACAGGCUAACUACGU